rnacentral:rRNA from 1 species
UACGGAGGGUGCAAGCGUUGCUCGGAAUCACUGGGCGUAAAGGGCGCGUAGGCGGCCCUCUAAGUCGAACGUGAAAUCCCCGGGCUCAACCCGGGAACUGCGUCCGAUACUGGAAGGCUUGAAUCCGGGAGAGGGAUGCGGAAUUCCAGGUGUAGCGGUGAAAUGCGUAGAUAUCUGGAGGAACACCGGUGGCGAAGGCGGCAUCCUGGACCGGCAUUGACGCUGAGGCGCGAAAGCCAGGGGAGCAAACGGG